UACGGAGGGGGCUAGCGUUGUUCGGAAUUACUGGGCGUAAAGCGCACGUAGGCGGCUUUGUAAGUUAGAGGUGAAAGCCCGGGGCUCAACUCCGGAAUUGCCUUUAAGACUGCAUCGCUAGAAUUGUGGAGAGGUAAGUGGAAUUCCGAGUGUAGAGGUGAAAUUCGUAGAUAUUCGGAAGAACACCAGUGGCGAAGGCGGCUGACUGGACACAUAUUGACGCUGAGGCUCGAAAGCAUGGGGAGCAAACAGG
rnacentral:rRNA from 1 species